UACGUAGGGUGCAAGCGUUAAUCGGAAUUACUGGGCGUAAAGCGUGCGCAGGCGGUGAUGUAAGACAGAUGUGAAAGCCCCGGGCUCAACCUGGGAAUUGCGAUGAAGACUGCAAGGCUUGAAUCUGGCAGAGGGGGUAGAAUUCCACGUGUAGCAGUGAAAUGCGUAGAGAUGUGGAGGAACACCGAUGGCGAAGGCAGCCCCCUGGGUCAAGAUUGACGCUCAUGCACGAAAGCGUGGGGAGCAAACAGG
rnacentral:rRNA from 1 species